rnacentral:rRNA from 1 species
CACUCCUACGGGAGGCAGCAGUGGGGAAUUUUGGACAAUGGGCGAAAGCCUGAUCCAGCAAUGCCGCGUGAGUGAAGAAGGCCUUCGGGUUGUAAAGCUCUUUUGUCAGGGAAGAAACGGUGAGAGCUAAUAUCUCUUGCUAAUGACGGUACCUGAAGAAUAAGCACCGGCUAACUACGUGCCAGCAGCCGCGGUAAUACGUAGGGUGCAAGCGUUAAUCUGAAUUACUGGGCGUAAAGCGUGCGCAGGCGGUUUUGUAAGUCUGAUGUGAAAUCCCCGGGCUCAACCUGGGAAUUGCAUUGGAGACUGCAAGGCUAGAAUCUGGCAGAGGGGGGUAGAAUUCCACGUGUAGCAGUGAAAUGCGUAGAUAUGUGGAGGAACACCGAUGGCGAAGGCAGCCCCCUGGGUCAAGAUUGACGCUCAUGCACGAAAGCGUGGGGAGCAAACAGGAUUAGAUACCCGUGUAGUCCCAUG